AGCGAACGUUUGCGGCGGGCCUAACACAUGCAAGUCGAACGCACUAGCAAUAGUGAGUGGCGCACGGGUGCGUAACACGUGGGUAAUCAACCCUUCAGCUUGGGAUAACGACUUGAAAGGGUCGCUAAUACCGGAUACGGCGCGGGAGGCUUCGGCUUCUCACGAGAAAGCCUCGCAAGGGGCACUGAAGGACGAGCCUGCGGCCCAUCAGCUAGUUGGUGAGGUAAGAGCUCACCAAGGCGAAGACGGGUAGCUGGUCUGAGAGGAUGAUCAGCCACACUGGAACUGAGACACGGUCCAGACUCCUACGGGAGGCAGCAGUGGGGAAUAUUGCGCAAUGGGCGAAAGCCUGACGCAGCCACGCCGCGUGAGCGAUGAAGGCCUCGGGUCGUAAGCUCUGUGGGGAGGAGACGAACGGACGCCAUGAAGAGUGGC
rnacentral:rRNA from 1 species